AGUGAACGCUGGCGGUAGGCCUAACACAUGCAAGUCGAGCGGCAGCACAGUAAGAGCUUGCUCUUACGGGUGGCGAGUGGCGGACGGGUGAGGAAUACAUCGGAAUCUACUUUUUCGUGGGGGAUAACGUAGGGAAACUUACGCUAAUACCGCAUACGACCUACGGGUGAAAGCAGGGGAUCUUCGGACCUUGCGCGAUUGAAUGAGCCGAUGUCGGAUUAGCUAGUUGGCGGGGUAAAGGCCCACCAAGGCGACGAUCCGUAGCUGGUCUGAGAGGAUGAUCAGCCACACUGGAACUGAGACACGGUCCAGACUCCUACGGGAGGCAGCAGUGGGGAAUAUUGGACAAUGGGCGCAAGCCUGAUCCAGCCAUACCGCGUGGGCGAAGAAGGCCUUCGGGUUGUAAAGCCCUUUUGUUGGGAAAGAAAAGCAGCGGGUUAAUACCCCGCUGUUCUGACGGUACCCAAAGAAUAAGCACCGGCUAACUUCGUG
rnacentral:rRNA from 1 species